GACGAACCGUGCGAACGUUAUUCGGAAUCACUGGGCUUAAAGCGCGUGUAGGCGGGCGGGCGCGUCGGUCGCUGAAAUCCCCCGGCUCAACCGGGGAAGGGGCGCCGAGACGGCCGGCCUGGAGGGACGUAGGGGGGGCUGGAACUUCCGGUGGAGCGGUGAAAUGCGUUGAGAUCGGAAGGAACGCCCGUGGCGAAAGCGAGCCCCUGGACGUCUACUGACGCUGAGACGCGAAAGCCAGGGGAGCGAACGGG
rnacentral:rRNA from 1 species